rnacentral:rRNA from 1 species
GAAGCGUCUGGAAAGGCGCGCGAUACAGGGUGACAGCCCCGUACACAAAAAUGCACAUGCUGUGAGCUCGAUGAGUAGGGCGGGACACGUGGUAUCCUGUCUGAAUAUGGGGGGACCAUCCUCCAAGGCUAAAUACUCCUGACUGACCGAUAGUGAACCAGUACCGUGAGGGAAAGGCGAAAAGAACCCCGGCGAGGGGAGUGAAAAAGAACCUGAAACCGUGUACGUACAAGCAGUGGGAGCACAGAGCAAUCUGUGUGACUGCGUACCUUUUGUAUAAUGGGUCAGCGACUUAUAUUCUGUAGCAAGGUUAACCGAAUAGGGGAGCCGAAGGGAAACCGAGUCUUAACUGGGCGUUAAGUUGCAGGGUAUAGACCCGAAACCCGGUGAUCUAGCCAUGGGCAGGUUGAAGGUUGGGUAACACUAACUGGAGGACCGAACCGACUAAUGUUGAAAAAUUAGCGGAUGACUUGUGGCUGGGGGUGAAAGGCCAAUCAAACCGGGAGAUAGCUGGUUCUCCCCGAAAGCUAUUUAGGUAGCGCCUCGUGAAUUCAUCUCCGGGGGUAG